rnacentral:lncRNA from 1 species
GUUCUUUUCUAAUCGUUUUUUUCUUUAUCAACUAAGCCUAAAGAAGUAUCUCUAUUCUGUAACUUUUUGUGUUGGUUGUAUAGGACAAAAGUCUAUAAUUAAUAUUUCAUCAAAUAUCCCAUUUUCAUGUUUUAACAUAAUAGUAAAAACAACACUGGAAAACAUUAAUUAGAACAAUCAAAGAAUGUGUUAACUUUAUAUUAACAACCCAGAGGGCUGCACAAAGCAAAGAUGUAUAGAAUAAUCGUUGCACUGCUAACAAAAAAAAAGAAAAAAAAUAGAAUAGUCUUUGCAUUCCAAAUAUUGAUCUCCUUUCUGUAAUUUCUUGAUACUUUAUGAGCAACAUAGUAAACACUUCCUACAACUUUUUCUUUAAAUAUAUGAAACACGAUUUUCAAUUAAAAUGGCAUAACUUGACAAUGUAACAGUGUAUGAGGGAAUCAAUUAUUUACACUAAAACUCCCAGAGCUUAUGUUUGAAGCUUACAAUGACACUCCAAAACUUUUAAGAGACAAAUAGUUUCAAAGAUUGAAAAAGCCUGACCAGAGUUUCAUAACAGUCACGAAAAAAAAAAAAGAUUAACAAUUCUCAUUGGAUUCACAAUCACGAAGUUUGUAUAUUUUUUUUUUGUCAGCUGUCCA